rnacentral:lncRNA from 13 species
CCUAGGGACUUAUUACAGAAGAAUUGGAAGAAUGGAUUGGUUUGGGAGAAACAGACUUCAAUUUCCCCCAUUCAAUCGAUCCUUAGCUGUGGAUUUGUCAUCUACGACCUUUGUUGUUUUGAGAUGGAGACUCACUCUUGCCAUGUGGGCUGCACUUCAGUAUGAUCUUGGCUAACUGCAACCUCUGCCUCCUGGGUUCCAGUGAUUCUCCUGCCUCAGACUCCUGAGUAGCUGGGAUUACAGGUGCCUGCUACCAUGCCCAGGUAAUUUUUUUGGUAAUUUAGUAGAGACGGGGUUUCACCAUUCUCUGCAUAUAUAUAUAUUUUUUAUUGCACUUUAGAUUCU